rnacentral:rRNA from 1 species
GAUGAACGCUGGCGGCGUGCCUAAUACAUGCAAGUCGAGCGAACAGACGAGGAGCUUGCUCCUCUGACGUUAGCGGCGGACGGGUGAGUAACACGUGGAUAACCUACCUAUAAGACUGGGAUAACUUCGGGAAACCGGAGCUAAUACCGGAUAAUAUAUUGAACCGCAUGGUUCAAUAGUGAAAGACGGUUUUGCUGUCACUUAUAGAUGGAUCCGCGCCGCAUUAGCUAGUUGGUAAGGUAACGGCUUACCAAGGCGACGAUGCGUAGCCGACCUGAGAGGGUGAGCGGCCACACUGGAACUGAGACACGGUCCAGACUCCUACGGGAGGCAGCAGUAGGGAAUCUUCCGCAAUGGGCGAAAGCCUGACGGAGCAACGCCGCGUGAGUGAUGAAGGUCUUCGGAUCGUAAAACGCUGUUAUUAGGGAAGAACAAAUGUGUAAGUAACUAUGCACGUCUUGACGGUACCUAAUCAGAAAGCCACGGCUAACUACGU